rnacentral:sRNA from 1 species
GUUGUUUGCCUUUCUUGGACGUUUCCUCCCUAAACUCGGCGGUGCUUUCGGGCACCGCCUUUCUUUUUGCCCGC